rnacentral:lncRNA from 1 species
UCUGCCUCUACGUCGAGCCGUGCCACCAAGUCGACCGCGGCUCCGAGCUCGCCGCGGUCACCAGGAGCCCGUGCCGCCGCACCACCGAGAGCCAGAGACGACGGCACCCUCACCUCGAUGACUGACACGGCCACACCACCGUCCUCUUCCCCGUCGCGACGCCGAGCAGGAGGACAGCGACACUGACCCCGCCCUAUGACCGCACCAGCAGCGACCCCGGGUCCUCAUCGCCAAGCCCCUACCGCGCCGAGCUCGUGGUCCAAGCCGGCACCUUGGGCACCGACCUCGCCCUGGCCAGGCGCGUUGCGCCCUCACCGCGAUAGAGCCGCCCAGCACUGACGCUGCCGAAGCCCUCGAUGCCAAGCUUGCCGCGGUCACCACGCCCAUGGUGAUCGCGAACAGCUCCCUCCACCGAGGCAGAACGUGCAGCAGCGGUACCACCUCACGUGGAGCUCCUUACUGUCGCCAGUGAGUAACCGAGACCCCAAGCUUUCCCUUUUCACAUUGUCGAUGUGCUCCUAUCUGAGUCCGACCUUUGCGCCGUGAAUACCACUGUUGCAGGGGAGCAGUGGCUUCGCUAUAUCGUUUUGCUAGAGUCGCGACAUCUCUUGGAUCGUGCUGUCAUGCCCAACUCCGACCUCCAUCAGCACGCCAUAGCGAACCAGGACACGCUGCAGCUAGCCAAGUUCACCCGGGCAUUCCGCGACAAGCCUCGCCUGCCCUGCCAUCACCAAGGUCGAACCCUAGUCGACGCCGAUGAAAAACCCCUUUUGCUUUUGUACAUCUUUCUAUCAUCGUUUAUACUUGUCGAUACAUGAUUUAUCUAUACCCAUGCCUGUGUCGUGCCUUCGUGCCGGUCUAUUUAUCUAUCUAUCUCUCUCUAUCUUGUGCCAUGGGAAUGUGCUACCCGAGUCAUCAUUGUCUUUGUGUUGUUAGCAGUCGAGUCGUAAUUCUUUGUGUGAUUGUCGUCGUCUGUGGACCGUGCCUUCGAGCCGGUUGAGAGAGUGAUAUGUUUGAGUGUUGCGAUCGCGAGUUCGUCUUGCCAUGGUCGUAAUGCUAAGCAUGUCCCUUCUCUCGUGUAGUCGUUGUUCUUUCUUUUGCUAUUUGCAUGAGGACUGAGCCUUCGAGCCGGUUGGGGAAAUGGUAGUUUGUUUGAUCGUCUCG